rnacentral:rRNA from 1 species
AUUGAACGCUGGCAGCAGGCUUAACACAUGCAAGUCGAGCGGAGCGAGGGUGCUUGCACCUUAGCUUAGCGGCGGACGGGUGAGUAAUGCUUAGGAAUCUGCCUAUUAGUGGGGGACAACAUUCCGAAAGGAAUGCUAAUACCGCAUACGCCCUACGGGGGAAAGCAGGGGAUCUUCGGACCUUGCGCUACUAGAUGAGCCUAAGUCGGAUUAGCUAGUUGGUGGGGUAAAGGCAUACCAAGGCGACGAUCUGUAGCGGGUCUGAGAGGAUGAUCCGCCACACUGGGACUGAGACACGGCCCAGACUCCUACGGGAGGCAGCAGUGGGGAAUAUUGGACAAUGGGCGGAAGCCUGAUCCAGCCAUGCCGCGUGUGUGAAGAAGGCCUUUUGGUUGUAAAGCACUUUAAGCGAGGAGGAGGCUCUUAAGGUUAAUACCCUUGAUGAGUGGACGUUACUCGCAGAAUAAGCACCGGCUAACUCUGUGCCAGCCGCCGCGGUAACAC